GACGAACGCUGGCGGCGUGCUUAACACAUGCAAGUCGAGCGACGCUCUUCCUUCGGGGAGAUGACGGAGCGGCGAACGGGUGAGUAACACGUGGGCAACCUGCCCCUAGCUCUGGGACAACACCGGGAAACCGGUGCUAAUACCGGAUACGACAUCGAGCGGCAUCUCUCGAUGUGGAAAGUUUUUUCGGCUAGGGAUGGGCCCGCGGCCUAUCAGCUUGUUGGUGGGGUAAUGGCCCACCAAGGCGACGACGGGUAGCCGGCCUGAGAGGGCGACCGGCCACACUGGGACUGAGACACGGCCCAGACUCCUACGGGAGGGAGCAGUGGGGAAUAUUGCGCAAUGGGCGAAAGCCUGACGCAGCGACGCCGCGUGAGGGAUGACGGCCUUCGGGUUGUAAACCUCUUUCAGCAGGGACGAAUUCAGACGGUACCUGCAGAAGAAGCACCGGCCAACUACGUG
rnacentral:rRNA from 1 species